UAAUACCAACAUCCAAACUUUGCUCAUCACAGCUUUUUGAAAAAAUUACUUCGGAAGGAAUUUGGAGCGAUUACUGCGAUUAAGACACUUCAUGGUGCCUGUUGCAAAUGGCCAAUAUUAUCAUAGUGGAUACUUUGGAAGAUACUCUGUAUUCAGCGCUGUGCUGAGAAGACAUGCAUUCGAAGUUCCUUUUAUUAAAAAUAAAAAAAAAAAAAACGGAAAACAAACUUUUCGUAAAAUAAUGAAAAGUACCAAACUCAAAGAGCGGAUUGGCACUUAAUACGAGCUCAAAAUAUAGUAAGAGUUCAGAAUACCGAAAAUGAUUUUAAAUGUUCCCUGUUAAAAUCAGUUAAUGCGCUUUUAGCAUUAAAAUGAAGUCGUCAAUUUGACGCCUAAUCAUGUCGUCACCUUUAUUUUGGCUAAAGGUAACGACAUGAUUAUUUUCAAAGUCUUACACCGUUUUAAUAAUAUACUAUUUACUUGUUAUAAGAAUAUAAUUAGUAAUUCCCAGCAUGAAGCCAUUAUUAAUUAUAUUUUUUAAGCAUUCAUAUUAAAUCUUUUUAUAUUUGGCUUUGAGUA